CCCUUAGACGUUCUGGGCCGCACGCGCGCUACACUGACCAGUGCAACAAGCAUCCGUCCUUGGCCGACAGGCCCGGGCAAUCUUUGAACGCUGGUCGUGAUGGGGAUAGACUUUUGCAAUUUUUGGUCUUCAACGAGGAAUUCCUAGUAAACGCAAGUCAUCAACUUGCAUUGAUUACGUCCCCGCCCUUUGUACACACCGCCCGUCGCACCUACCGAUUGAAUGGUCCGGUGAAGCCUCCGGAUUGGCGCGCACCUCGGUGCCGCCGAGAAGUUGGCUAAACCUUACCAUUUAGAGGAAGGUGAANUCGUANCA
rnacentral:rRNA from 1 species